GCCACUUUGACCACUUUGGUUUCUCCAGAACAAGCAUUUCUGGCAGGACCCCAGCAGCAAGGCAAACUGGAAUUGUGGCAGGCGGUUAUGUUGCAACCACCUAGCCACGAUACCUGGAGAGCCGAGUUUAGGAGCUCGAGAAGAUUCUGCUGGACAGCGGUGGAACACUCAGAAAGACACAGGGUACCCAGGGACCAAUUGGAACAAAACAUAAUCUGACUCAUUGGAGAUAAAUAUCUAUAAACACAUUUUCUCCUUCCAGUCUUUUUUUUUUUUUUCCUGGACAGCUAAAUA